rnacentral:rRNA from 1 species
UUUAUACCGUGAAACUGCGAAUGGCUCAUUAAAUCAGUUAUCGUUUAUUUGAUAGUACCUUACUACUUGGAUAACCGUGGUAAUUCUAGAGCUAAUACAUGCUAAAAACCCCGACUUCGGAAGGGGUGUAUUUAUUAGAUAAAAAACCAAUGCCCUUCGGGGCUCCUUGGUGAUUCAUAAUAACUUAACGAAUCGCAUGGCCUUGUGCCGGCGAUGGUUCAUUCAAAUUUCUGCCCUAUCAACUUUCGAUUGUAAGGUAUUGGCUUACAAUGGUUUCAACGGGUAACGGGGAAUUAGGGUUCUAUUCCGGAGAAGGAGCCUGAGAAACGGCUACUACAUCCAAGGAAGGCAGCAGGCGCGCAAAUUACCCAAUCCCGACACGGGGAGGUAGUGACAAUAAAUACUGAUACAGGGCUCUUUUGGGUCUUGUAAUUGGAAUGAGUACAAUUUAAAUCCCUUAACGAGGAACAAUUGGAGGGCAAGUCUGGUGCCAGCAGCCGCGGUAAUUCCAGCUCCAAUAGCGUAUAUUAAAGUUGUUGCAGUUAAAAAGCUCGUAGUUGAACCUUGGGCCUGGCUGGCCGGUCCGCCUCACCGCGUGCACUGGUCCGGCCGGGCCUUUCCUUCUGGGGAACCUCAUGCCCUUCACUGGGUGUGCUGGGGAACCAGGACUUUUACUUUGAAAAAAUUAGAGUGUUCAAAGCAGGCCUAUGCUCGAAUACAUUAGCAUGGAAUAAUAGAAUAGGACGUGUGGUUCUAUUUUGUUGGUUUCUAGGACCGCCGUAAUGAUUAAUAGGGAUAGUCGGGGGUGUCAGUAUUCAAUUGUCAGAGGUGAAAUUCUUGGAUUUAUUGAAGACUAACUACUGCGAAAGCAUUCACCAAGGAUGUUUUCAUUAAUCAGUGAACGAAAGUUAGGGGAUCGAAGACGAUCAGAUACCGUCGUAGUCUUAACCAUAAACUAUGCCGACUAGGGAUCGGGCGAUGUUAUCUUUUUGACUCGCUCGGCACCUUACGAGAAAUCAAAGUCUUUGGGU